UCUUCGAUGGUCUAGUGGUCAUGAUUUCCGCUUGUCAAGAUACAUCUCAACAAGCGCGGGAGGUAAGCCACUUAACUAAACGUUAAUUAACAAUAAAACUAACCUCUAUCAAGACCGGGGUUCGAUUCCCCGUCGGAGAG